GAUGAACGCUGGCGGCGUGCUUAACACAUGCAAGUCGAACGGAAAGGCUCCUGCUUGCAGGGGUACUCGAGUGGCGAACGGGUGAGUAACACGUGGGUGAUCUGCCCUGCACUUCGGGAUAAGCCUGGGAAACUGGGUCUAAUACCGGAUAGGACCACAUUUUGGAUGGUGUGGUGGAAAGUUUUUCGGUGUGGGAUGAGCUCGCGGCCUAUCAGCUUGUUGGUGGGGUAAUGGCCUACCAAGGCGUCGACGGGUAGCCGGCCUGAGAGGGUGUACGGCCACAUUGGGACUGAGAUACGGCCCAGACUCCUACGGGAGGCAGCAGUGGGGAAUAUUGCACAAUGGGCGCAAGCCUGAUGCAGCGACGCCGCGUGGGGGAUGACGGCCUUCGGGUUGUAAACUCCUUUCGCUAGGGACGAAACGCAAGUGACGGUACCUGGAGAAGAAGCACCGGCUAACUACGUG
rnacentral:rRNA from 1 species